rnacentral:misc_RNA from 1 species
UUAGGAAAUCCCGUCAAGAGGCCACAGAUUAUCAGUAUCGGUGUCAACAGCUGGAAAAGGAGCUGAAGGAUCUUAAAGAUUACGAGCAGCAGACAAAGCCAAAGAGAACGAAAAUAAUGUCCGAGUUGCUAAUAUCUGUUUCAAAAGCUGAGAGACAAGAGGCUCGGAUGAAAGUGCGCCAGGAAUCAUUGAGACUGGGCAAUGUGGGAGUAAUCAGAGCUGGAACCAUUAUAUCUGAGGCCUGGGAAGAUGGGCAAGCACUAAAGGACCUGAAUGCUCAACUUAGAAACUUAUUAGAAACAAAAGAAGCUAUUGAACGGCAGCGUAAAUUGUUGAAGAAACGACAACCAGAUAAAAGUGAUGGAGGAGAUGUGGAGGGAGGUUUGCAGGAAGAAGAUUCUUUCAUUCAGGAUGAAAUCUACAAAUCUCGUUUAACUAGCAUCAAACGAGAGGAGGAUAUGAUAAUGCGUGAGAGAGAUCGGUAUGAACUAGAGAAAGGAAGGCUCAUUCGUGAAAUGAAACGCAUACGUGAUGAAGACGGUUCUCGUUUUAACAAUUUUCAGAUUUUGAACCACCGAUAUGCCCUCUUAAACCUUCUUGGAAAAGGAGGAUUUAGUGAGGUCUAUAAGGCUUUUGACUUGGUAGAUCAUAGAUAUGUUGCAUGUAAGCUACAUGGACUAAAUGCUCAGUGGAGCGAAGAGAAG